rnacentral:tRNA from 1 species
GCGGGCGUGGUGAAAUGGUAUACACACCGGACUUAAAAUCCGGAGGCUUCGGCCAUGCGGGUUCAAGUCCCGCCGCCCGCACCA